ACGGUCCCUUACGUAACUGUCAGCCGGGGAUUCCCUAGAUGGGGUCACUUUAUUCAACCAUUACACAGACCCCAGCCGCCGCUCCGGCGCGCUUGGGCUGUCGCGGCCGCCGCGAACGAGGCUGCGGCUGCUGCAAGGGAGCGCGGCGGCUCCUCACAAAAUGGCGGCGCCCAUGGAAGCGGCAGCCCCAUUUUGUGCCCGGCAGAGCCUGUCAACAAACACCGACUUGGCCGAGGCUGAGGAACAGAAGGCGGCGGCUCGUUCGCGUUACGGAGCGCGGAGGGAGGAGAGCGGAGGAUUUCACCGCCCUCCUGCCGCCGAGAGGAGAGUGUCGAGCGCGCGCGUUGGGGGAGGGAGGAGAGGGAGGUGAAGGCGAGCAGGGAGCGAGUCAGAGGCUGCGUUAUCCCAGCGCGGAACUGCCGGAGCUGCGGCGCGGGGGAGGGGAAGGCGAAGGCCGAGGAAGGCGGCCUUGGCGCAACCCUGGCCGGGGCGUAGCUCCCCGAGACCCGGGGGCUGCGGAGACCGGGGGGCUGCGGGAGCGGCUGGCGAGGCCGGGCCGGAGCCCGGCGCUGCCCGCACGGGGGGCGCUGCCCGCACGGGGGGCGCUGCCCGCACGGGGGGCGCUGCCCGCACGGGGGGCGCUGCCCGCACGGGGGGCGCUGCCCGCACGGGGGGCGCUGCCCGCACGGGGGGCGCUGCCCGCACGGGGGGCGCUGCGUGUCGCUCCCGUGCUGCCUGGGCGGACGGGACCGUUCCUGUCGGAUUCCGGCGAACCUGUAAUGAAUGACAGGACGAUCGAGCUCCUUGUGUAGCUAACUAGGUCACUGUCAGCACUUAAUUACUGUUUGUUUCAUUUUAGUGCGUGCCUUAUGAAUAAACCGGCUAUUAGGCUGAUGCUUCAAGUAACAUUAUCCAGCACCAAGUAGUUUAUUCCAGUUUGUUGAACACGAACUUCCUGGUGGAUUGAAUCACAUGCUGCACCAUAGACUGCUUGUAUGGCUUGAAUUUGGAGCUCAGAAAAUGAGAAGCACUUCACUAGAGGCCUUCAGUUCGAUACAAGAAACUCGCUACUCUGUAAAUCCCUGAUAAAGACAGAAAUAGAAGUGAGCUGUGAUCACCACAUCCAGUUCUAACUUGUUACUGGACCACAGUCGAAGAAUGGAACAGUUUUGUUCCCUAGCUGAAUGGCAUGGGAGAAUUCCCAGAAGGUUACUUAUUUUGCUAAUCUCUGCUUAGAAGGUUCUGGUGGCUUCAUUGCUAGCAAAGGCUUAGCCUUGAACAACUGAGAUUUUGGGUAAAUCCCUGAUGCUGAAAACAUGCAGGUAAAUAAUUUAGAUAAUGAUGUUAAUUUAAUGCUGUAGUUGACUUGCCAAACUAGUUGCUUAUGAAUUUUGUAGCAUUUGUAGUCUGGGUAGCUAGCUUCUGAAUGUUAGUGAUAACUUUACCCUCCAGCAGAAUGGCUUUCUACAGUUAUGCACUAAAUACUCAAAACUGAUGGCAAAUUCUGGAAUCACUCGUAGUAGUUAGGUAAGAGCAAGUUGUUCUAUAAUUUCUUCAUGGCUUAAACUAGGUGCUGCUUCCAAAAAGGAAGCACAUCAUACAUUUUCAUCCUUUUCUCCGUUCCUUCCUCUUGCCAAUAGCAUUUCACACACCUGUACUGCAACACAGAGAUAAAUAAAUAAUAAUUCAGCUGAAAAUUUACAGGUUAAAAAAAUGUCUUUUAAAUGGACUUGUUACCACUGUGUGAAGGGCAGCAUCAGUGCAAGAGAAUGUAGAAAUAAGAAUCAGAGAAAGACAGGACUCCUUCUUCCUCUAGUCCUUCUUCAAAGGCUCCAGCAUCUACACUAUUCAGGUAACAACAGGACAGACUAUUGUCCCCCUUGUUAUCACUGGUGAGAGAGUAGAAGAAAUCUGAAGUCAAGGCAAUCAGGUGCUGCUAGCACUUCAUUGUUGCUCUUUAAAAGGAUGAUAAAGUGGUAUCUUUUGAUAAAUAUUUUCUCUAGUUUGCUUAGCCCAGUUGUCACAGGCAUUUUGAAAGGAGUGCAUCUGGCUGAAUUGUUAACUGUGCUCUUAUUUCUUUUUCAGGGGAGAUCUUGUGCUGUUUUUAAGAAAACAGAAACAGAAAACUAACUUUCAUUUUAUAUGCAGCAUGUCCGUGUGGGAUGGACACAGAUCAUACAAAAAUGAGUUAGGAAAGGCUUUUUGGCUGAUAACAACCAUUAUAAUUUUCCUACUGUUGCCAGCUUUGAGUCUGUUUGCCCCCAAACUUUGUGCUGCAUCCAAAGACCUAAAAUUUGGAGUCUGCAGGCCUCGGAGAUGGAGAGAAGUUGAGCAUAAAGAGAGAAGAGAGCCUGCUGAGUAUUUUCAAGACUGAGAUUUGGAAAUAAGUUUCUCUCCUCCACUUACGAAGAAUCUAAAACAGGACCUUAUCAACCAUGGCACAUCCAUAUUUAGAUUUUCUUUACCUAUAUACUUUUUUCCCCCCUUUAUUUUUGUAUGGACAAGUUUUAAAAUAAAUGCAUAUAUGAAAUAAAUUCCACAUCUUAAGUCUUGCAAAUAAGGGAUGUUGUAGGAGUGGUAUGCUUCCUACAUGUUUUCCUAUCGAUGAGAGGGACAGUGGACAUAUAUCACAGGCUUUAUUUUGGAUAUGAUUCAAGGAGUGCCCCACACAAAUUUCUCUUGGGGACAGUGCUGAGGUGAGUAUCAGACAGGGAGAGAGUUGUUUUCUGUUUAUUAGAUAUUCAAGAUAUGGAUGUGCCUCUACAAGUUUUCUCCAAAGGCAGCUUUUCACUCAUAAUGGCUUAAAAAGUCUGGGUCCUGUCAUCUGUGCAAACCAAAAGCCUUAACUGCUCAGAAGGUCAUGUAUUUCUGAUAAAUACAUAAAUAAUUUUUGUUCAUCAUUAUUUUAGAACAAGAAGAGUUCAGGAGCUUGAACAGCAGAAUUACAGAAUUGGAAAGUUAUGUAGACAUCAUUAAAUUCAGAAUUCUAUGGCCACAUUAAAUAGCAGAAGCUGUGAACUGACACUCUUCAUUGCAGAAUCCAUAUGGGGCCAUUCACCUAGAGUGUCUUCCCUCAAGGAAGCAGCUCUAAUCUUCACUAUGUCAAGACUUCUUGGACACAUGAAAUUAUAAAGGAAUCUCAUUGGCAAGUGAAAUAUGGCAACAAGGAAUCAUAUCCAGUAUUGUUGCACCUGCUAAAAGCCUACAUGAAGUGACUGCAAACAUGCCAGCAUUGGCACUGGUGAGUCUUGGUGUGCUGUGUGUUCCUUGGACACUGGUGAGUGGAUAGGACUCAAUAUGAGUAGGGCUGCUCUGCUCAUCUCCAGAGCUAGCACCAACAACCUGAGAAUAUCCCCUUAGUCUCUUUGCCCACUCCUAGCCUUAGCAGAGGUGAUGAAGGUAUCACUUAUCACAAGAGGCCUUGGCACCAUGUUUCUAACCUCCUUAUCACGUUUUCCUUGGGAUAUGUUACUAGCCCUUUGCAUCAGAGCCACAGUAUUCCUCAGCACUACAGCUGUGCUAAAGGAGCCUUCUCCCCAAGAUUCCCUGUGGCAGGUGAUAAGGAUAUUCAGUUUCUGGAAGUGAAGUGAGAUCUCUGCUGUCAAAACAGUGAAAGUGCAACUCCCUGUUCUAUGGAACACCAGGUUCCAAACAUGUCAGCACUUGAAACAUGGAUUAAGUGCAGAAAAUGCAAUGACAAUUUCCUGGCAUAGGUGAUUGGUGAGAUAACUAGAGGAGAUGCCCUGACUGGACUUAAUUACUCAUGAACAAUCUGACUGAGGGUGUAGAGGCUGAAGACAGCUUUGGCUGCAGCUUUGAGUUUGUAUAGUUUAAAAUCCUGAGAUAAACAAGAAAACUAAUAAAAUUGCCAGUCUUGACUUCCAAAGGGCAGAUUUCAGCUUGUUUGGAAAUCUGCUGGACAGGAUCACAUGAAAGGCAGUCAGCUGCCCUGGCACAACUAACUGAACUUCACCCUUCUCAAAACACAGAACUGGUUCCUUCCAAAUCAAGAAAGGUAAGCAAAGGUGCAAGGCUAGUAUGGAUGAACAGAACACUCUAGACUGACUGCAAAUAUGAAAUCUAGCCAAUGGCAGCAUAUGUGUGCUACCCAUCCACUUCACUGUGGUGAGUGGAGUGGUCCAUGAUGGACAGAAGAGGCAAAUAUUAUACCCAUCUUCAAGAAGGCUGAGAAAGGGGAUCCAGGGAACUACAAGCUAAGAACUCUAACCUCAGUCUCCUGGAAGAUUUUUUCCUCCUGGAAACCAUUUCUGAGCUCAUGAAUUGUAAGAAGGUGAUUAAAAAUAGGCAGCAUGAACUUACCAUGGGCAAAUUGCCACUGAUGAAUCUGAUUGAUUGAUCAUUCUGAGGUGGACUGGUUCCAUGGAUGAGGGAAGAGUAGUGCAGGUUGUUUACCUUGGCUUUAGCAGAGUUUUUCCCAAGGUCUUUGAUAGUAUCCUACCAGUCAAAAUAUGGACAGGAUAAGCAGAUUAUAAAGUGGAUGGAAAACUGGUUGAAAUUCCAGGCCAGACAGGUUGUGAUUGGCAGUAUAAAGUCUAUCCCACAACUGGCUGCUAAUGGCAGUCCUCCUCAGGAACAGAUUCUGGGGUAAAUGCAGUUUGGUGUCUUCACUGCUAAUGAUCUGAUCUAAUGGGAGAGAUUGUACUAUCAACAGAUUCAUGGAUCAUACCAGCCUUCAGGGAAGGAGUUGAUAUGCCAGAGGGCAGGGCUGUUGCUUAGAGGGACCGAGACAAGCUGGAGGAAUGUAUUUCCCGGAGUCUCACCAAGCUCAGCAAAGACAGGUAAGACGUCUUGCACAUGCUGGAGAUGAACUGAUUGAAGGGCAGCUUUGUAGAAGGGGACCUGUGGUACUGGUGGACACGAUGAGUACGAGUUGGCAGUUGGGGCAAACAAGGUCAGCCUCAUCCCACAUUGUAUUAGCAAACUGCAACCAGCAGGUCUAGGGAAGUAAUUGUUCUCUCUCACUGGUGCUUGUGAGACUGCUUCUGGAGUACUGUUUUUGCUGCCCAGUAAAAGAGACCGACACAUGGUUUUGAAUGCAGCAGAGUCACUAAGAUCACACAGGCUGAAGUACGUGUGUAUGAGCCAAGUGUGAUAGCGUGGAUAUAGGAAAGGGAUCCAAACUCUUUGAAAUGUAUGGUGACAGGGGAAGAGCUAAUGGACACAAGUUGCAAUACAGGAAAUUCUGCCUGUAAGGAAAAACAUUUUCAUUGUUAAUAUAAUCAAAUGCUGGAAUGGACUUCCAGUCAAUAUUGUGGAAUCUUGGACCUUGAAGAAAUUCAAAAGCUGACUGAGGAAGAUGCUUUGAAUGAGGAGUUGAACUAGCAGACUUACAGGGAUCACUUUCAACCUGUCCAUCAGAGGAGAGGAGCGAAGACCAGCAAAUGGCAAUAAUUUGCCACUGCAGUUCUGCUUGAACCCUUAUUGUCAGAGAGCUCUAGUGUCAAAGAUGAGGCAUCUACACAUUUCUACACUGAAAGAUGGCAGCUAAGUUUUCAUUUGAGAACUGCAAGUUUCAAUGAAGAACCCUAAGGCCUGAAUAUCUUUUUGAGUCUGGUUCUUAAUAGUCAACUUAAAAAAGAAUGGAUCUGUUUUCAAAGUGUGCAGGCUUUUCUCCUGAAGACAUGAAAGACAUAGGAGGGUGAUUGAUCAGGAUUGCUUUGAGGGAUGUUUUCUUUCCUGUUGUCCUAAGAUGAGGUUGGAGGUUAUAGGAAGUGGCAGAUAUUUUGGAAUGGCCCUAUUGUUUACAGGACUUUAAAUUGUUGUUUUCAUUCGUGAGUUAAUAGUGUUAAAAAUAAGUGAAUGCAUACUUGUAGCUAGUGUACAUGAUUGCAUUUGGCACGUUUUAGGAGUUAGAUGGUAGUUGUUUUCUAGCUGGUGCUAAUUUCCAUUUUCAGACACUCUGCUUAACUUCAGCAUUAGCAAAAUUAUAUGAGAAAGUGAUGUUGCUGCACUCUGUGUUGUGCAGGGCUGUAAAUGUAGGCAUGCAUUACAGGAAUAUUUGUGUAGAAUGAAAAGCUAAUAUACAUCAGUGUUUUGUUAAAAAGUAUGCACAUUCUGUACAUAGUGCUUGGGAAAAAAGUCAUUUUCUCUUCAUGGCUGAUCAAAUUCUAUAUAUUUUAUAAGAAAACUUUUUGUGUCACUAAAAAUAAAUAAAUAUUAUGCAUAUUUAAUGGAAUAUGUGAUUUUUCCUUCUUCUAGUGUAAUCGUUCACCAUUUUGUAGCAGCUUCCGCAGGUAUAGGUAACAGGACAAAUACCAGUGAAUGUAUAAUCACAAUCCUUAUGUUUAAGAAAAAAAAAUCCUCCUUAUUUUUAACUUUUGGUAACUUGAAAAUAUUUCUUGUAUUUUGUCUUAAAUACAGCAUUUCGUCAUUUGUUUGAUAAUGCCUCUCUCUCUAUGGUAAAACAGUUAGAAUAUAGACCUUCUUCCUUUCCUCAGUGAAAGGAGGACAAAUCAACAUGCUGGCUUAUAUUUUAAUAGAGUUAUGGGGAAGAGGAAAUGAGAUUUUUUUCAAAUGGGGAAGAAAAAAGUAUUUAUCAGAUUUCAACCAUUGGAUUAAAUUAUGUCAUGCUCUGUAAGAAAAAUUAUGUUGUUCUUCAGUUUUGUUUUAGAAGAGGUUCUAUGAUCCAAAAACCAUGCCAUAUUCAGUGCAUAUACUAAAAGCAUCACUCACAUGCUGGUCACAAGAAUAUGUUUCUAUAAAAAAAAAAUGCCACUUAUAAGUCUUUUUUCCUGUAGUUCAGAAAAUUAUUUCUAUUUGAAUAGCUUUGAAAUUUCAAGAUCAGAAUAUUUUUAUAAGCAAUAGUUUAAAGGCUGUGAUAUUAUCUGCAAACUAUCAAACAUACGAUCUUCCUAAUGUUCCAGGAUUUUGAUUACAUAAAAAUACUUUGUUGAUUCUUAGUGAAUAUUCAUGAAUGGUGUAUAUAUAUGGUUGGUAUGCAUAUGCACAGUAUAAAACAACAUUGUAAAAAAUACAUCUUUAUACUUACGGAAGAUUAUAAAAGAAAUAAUUUCUUUCUAUGUCCUUUUUCCCCCUCAUUUUUAAUUAAUGCCUAAUUAAUGACUAUCUAUACUAUCUCGGUAUAAUUUCUGCUGUGGUGAUAUCUCUGUAGAAUCAUUGAUAUUUCCUCUAAAAGGAGAAUUGGAAGACAGUCUAUAUUAGCUACUAGUUUACUUGAUCAUGUCCUGGAAUAUCCCUAGCCUUCAGGCAAACUCAAUGAAUUUCUCUCCUGUUUUAGAGUGUGUAGAGGCAGCCGAUAGGCUUAAAGUCAUGGUCAAUGGGGAUCUAGUCAAAACAGUCAAUAUUAUCCAUAAAGUGAGUCAACUCAUUUUAAAGCAGGCAUCUACUUUUAGUCAGAUGAAUAAUUCUCUAAACUUCAUUGAUGUAGAUAUGUCAAGGUGGAUGAGAUGGAUCCCACCCUCACAUUCCCUUGGUAUUUCUCCUCACUUGUUUGAGAGUGAAUUGAGGCACUUAAAAAGAAUUUUGCAGUGCAGUUUGCAUUGCACUUGCAAUUGGGACAACAUCUCUCAGCCUUGCUGAGUUUACUGUAAGUUACCAGCUUGGUAAUGCCAACUGUGUAUGGGGACUGUACUGCGUAUGAACUGGUCAUGGUCGAUACGUGAGUCAGUGGUGCAUUCAGCAUUUAAAUGCAAUAAGUGCCUUCGGUGUUCUUACUGAAAAAUGAGAGCCAUAUUUAUACUUUAUCAAGCUUCAAAUAGCUCCAGAACUUUUAGAUUGAGUCGGCUGACAGAUUCAAAACAAUUUUCCAAGUGUUGUACCAAAUCCAUAUUCUGACUGCAUGUCAUUAUAUAAUGCAUACUAAGUUCUGUCUGUCAGUUUGUUUACUGGCAUGUGAGCAGAGGAGCAACCUCAUCUUCUUAUUCCGGACCUCCUACCACUAUGCUCCUUCUCAGGAACAGUGAGGAACUUGAAAAGAUUGGGCUGAAGCUGCAAAUGUGUUAGAUAAAGGAGAGAGAAGAAAGAUAGGUGUGAUGAAUCAACAGGUACAGGAAAGGGGAAAAUACCCUGAACUUCCAAGCCAUGUUGUUUUCUCCAAACAUUGUGCCAUUUUCUAUCUCUGUCCCUCAUAUCACUUGGGUUGUUUGUGUAAUGCCCAGUUCCAUGUUUUCCUUAGCAUGUUGUUGGCAGGUAGGUGAAAAUGACAAAAGAGUGGAUGGCCCAAAGCAGUGGUGAGCAGCUGUAGGUCCUUAUAUCAACCACUAACACCAUGUUUUGGCACAGAUGGAGUGGCCCUUGAAGGCUUUAUAUUGCAGAUAAAGAUUAUAGAAUAAAUUAGCAGAGGCAUUAAAUGUAAUGAAUUGAUAUCCUGUUUGGUUGUCUGGUUUUUUUAAUCAUCUCAAGCAGCAUGAAUUGGGAUGGGAGCCACUCUUUCCUCUGGAGUUGUGUCAACAGGCAGGUCAUUAUAGGAAUGCUUCCACCCCCACUUACUCUAUGGCUGAAAUGCUGGAGACAGAUUAUUUGUUCCUCUGCUCUGCAUACACACUGCAUAAUUCUGGAUGCCCUUUGCCUGGAGGAAGUCACAGCCCAGCUCAAGGUUCAGAGGAUUCCUUAGAAGUGUGGGAGGAGAUGUGGGAGUGGAUUUCACAGAAACCUCUGAUCAGGAAGCUGCCCAAGCAAGCUAGUGGGGAAUGGCUGCAUUCCAGGGGAGUUUCCUACUUGCUGUGCCACUGGAGCAUGCUGAGGAGCAUAUCCUGGCCUGUGCCUAGCACUCUUGUCUUCAGCUGCCUUUUUCCAAGUGAUGGAAGGGUUGUGCUUCAGCCUGCAGAUGAGGCAGGGUGGGAGCUUCCUUUAAUGGGAAUCUCAUUUAGGCUUAAGAGGUGAGCUAGCAGAUUUCAAGGGCUGUCAAGAUAAUAAGGCUAAGAUUCCUUGCCUUGUGGCAAAAGUUCAUAGAAAUGUAGGUUCAUAGAAAUGCAAGUAACUACCAACAAGUUCCUCACUGGAGAUGAGAAAGCUCUGCAGUACCUUUGAACCUUCCAAGAGCUGGUGCCAAGUAACAAAAAUCUCUCGUAUCUCUGCCUUGUUCCAAAUACACAGGUUAAAGCAGGUUGUAUGCUUGCAGGAAUAAUUUUUCAGUGCAUAAUUCAGUAGGCUGGUUUUGCACCUGUAAGAAGCUGGUGUGCUAUUUUCCUUUUCCCUGGUCUUUAACUAAUUGCAAUUUGAAAAACAUUUUUUUACGGUGUCCUAAACAUGGGCUUUAUAGUAAGUAAACAUUACAUCCUGUUUACAUGGUUACAUCCAGUAAAACCCAAAUAUUGAAAUUUCUGCAAAUUCAUCCCACACUUUGUUUAGCUACAUUAUAUGCAUUCAAUGUAUUUAAAGAUUAAACAAUGUUAAAACAAUUUGUUACUGUGGUUUAAGCAAAACUUGUAGGUUCUUUGUCCACAAUCUUGUCUACUUUAGAAAUUUGUCCCAUUCCUAGGAAAAGAUUUGAAAUAAAGAAAAAAAUCAUAGAAAAUGUAAACUUGCUUCUUUAUUGUCAGUGUGUAAAUAUCUUUAUGGAAUUAAUAUUAUGAAGAGAGAAGCUUACUUACACCAAAUAAUUUUAUGGAUAGAACAGAACUGUUACAUGCAUAGAAAAAAAAAAAAGGCAUACAAAGUGCCAGUGUAUGUAACCUGACAUAUCAAACACAUUUUAAAAUAGUGAUUAUAUAAAAUGUUGUCUGCAGAAGUUUUUCAAAUUAAUGCAAAUAGAAAUGCCACUACCCUCUUACUUAUUUAUGACCAAAAUCCUAGAGUCACAAUCAUAACUAUUAGCAGUGGAAUUGAUAUCAUAAUUGGUGACACAAGUAUUCAUUCCUUAGUCCUCCAGGAAUGAAUAAAUAGGCUGACCUUUUGUCUCACAUAAUGAAUAUCCUAUGUAAUCCUUGAGUAGCUCCACCUAUAUACAACAGCAUUUAUUACUUAAACUACUGUAAGAACAAAAUAAAUGACAGUAUGUUGAAUGCAGGAUCCUGCUCUCAAAAGCACUUGGGAGAAGAGUAGAGCAAUUAAAUGAGGGAGGACAGAUAAGGAGAAGGAAAGGGAAUAGAUGUUCUCACAUGCAUGUCUCAUUUAAAACUUUAAAAACCUUUAAUACAACAGGAGAUCUAAAAUCUAUACACCAAGAUAGGGUGUAAUAAGGUAUUGUUUAUAUAGCUCACAACUGUUGCAAGGAAACCAUGUAGUCUCUUUGAGAAGUAGGGCUUAGGAAAUCAUGCUGUUUUUCAGAAUAGCUGGUGAGGUGGGCUUAUGGUAGGAGCUAUUUUGUCAGAGUCAACAGAACUAGUUGUAAAAUUAUAGCCUAAUCCUGAAUCAGCUAUUAAAACCUAUGGUCUAGUUGCUGUCACCUCCUCCUCCUUCUUCCCCCAUCUACUCCAGCUGUCAUCCCAGAGGCUCAUACCUGGGCAGCUUCCCUGAUUGUGUUUUCAUGAAUCUGGAAAUAUGCUCUUACAGGCAGAUAAACAGCACUGAGGGAAAGACUUCAUAGGAGUUUCGCUCUUAGUGGACACCAGAAAGCUCAUAGAAAUAAUGUGAUGCAAACAAACUUGCAUCAGAGUUUGUGUUUUCUUAGAUGUUUGGUCAGGCAGGCUUAAGACACAAAUCCAAAAGGAAAAUAAGCUUCCUUAGAUUGAUUUUCAAUGAACUAUGCUUUAAUUAAUCUAACUUUUGACUUUGGUUUCCAGCAGGACAAUUACUAGAAUGAGAGCUUUGGUAUCCUUCUCCUGGCAGAGUAUUAACUUUAUUAUUUGAAUAAUUAGAUGAAAUCUUGGACUAACAAAUCUUAAUUUCAUACUGAAUUAUAACACCAUGUUUUAGAGACCAGACUUGAGGAAAUAAGACAAUCAACUGGAAACAGUCCAAAGGAGAGUGACAAAAAAGACAGAAGUGUAGAAAUUAUAACCU